rnacentral:tRNA from 1 species
GGAGGAUUCGCAUAGCGGCCGAGUGCACGCGCCUUGAAAGCGCGCAGGGGGAGACCCCUCGUGGGUUCAAAUCCCACAUCCUCCA